rnacentral:rRNA from 1 species
GGCGUUAAGUUGCAGGGUAUAGACCCGAAACCCGGUGAUCUAGCCAUGGGCAGGUUGAAGGUUGGGUAACACUAACUGGAGGACCGAACCGACUAAUGUUGAAAAAUUAGCGGAUGACUUGUGGCUGGGGGUGAAAGGCCAAUCAAACCGGGAGAUAGCUGGUUCUCCCCGAAAGCUAUUUAGGUAGCGCCUCGUGAAUUCAUCUCCGGGGGUAGAGCACUGUUUCGGCAAGGGGGUCAUCCCGACUUACCAACCCGAUGCAAACUGCGAAUACCGGAGAAUGUUAUCACGGGAGACACACGGCGGGUGCUAACGUCCGUCGUGAAGAGGGAAACAACCCAGACCGCCAGCUAAGGUCCCAAAGUCAUGGUUAAGUGGGAAACGAUGUGGGAAGGCCCAGACAGCCAGGAUGUUGGCUUAGAAGCAGCCAUCAUUUAAAGAAAGCGUAAUAGCUCACUGGUCGAGUCGGCCUGCGCGGAAGAUGUAACGGGGCUAAACCAUGCACCGAAGCUGCGGCAGCGACACUGUGUGUUGUUGGGUAGGGGAGCGUUCUGUAAGCCUGCGAAGGUGUGCUGUGAGGUAUGCUGGAGGUAUCAGAAGUGCGAAUGCUGACAUAAGUAACGAUAAAGCGGGUGAAAAGCCCGCUCGCCGGAAGACCAAGGGUUCCUGUCCAACGUUAAUCGGGGCAGGGUGAGUCGACCCCUAAGGCGAGGCCGAAAGGCGUAGUCGAUGGGAAACAGGUUAAUAUUCCUGUACUUGGUGUUACUGCGAAGGGGGGACGGAGAAGGCUAUGUUGGCCGGGCGACGGUUGUCCCGGUUUAAGCGUGUAGGCUGGUUUUCCAGGCAAAUCCGGAGAAUCAAGGCUGAGGCGUGAUGACGAGGCACUACGGUGCUGAAGCAACAAAUGCCCUGCUUCCAGGAAAAGCCUCUAAGCAUCAGGUAACAUCAAAUCGUACCCCAAACCGACACAGGUGGUCAGGUAGAGAAUACCAAGGCGCUUGAGAGAACUCGGGUGAAGGAACUAGGCAAAAUGGUGCCGUAACUUCGGGAGAAGGCACGCUGAUAUGUAGGUGAAGCGACUUGCUCGUGGAGCUGAAAUCAGUCGAAGAUACCAGCUGGCUGCAACUGUUUAUUAAAAACACAGCACUGUGCAAACACGAAAGUGGACGUAUACGGUGUGACGCCUGCCCGGUGCCGGAAGGUUAAUUGAUGGGGUCAGCGCAAGCGAAGCUCUUGAUCGAAGCCCCGGUAAACGGCGGCCGUAACUAUAACGGUCCUAAGGUAGCGAAAUUCCUUGUCGGGUAAGUUCCGACCUGCACGAAUGGCGUAAUGAUGGCCAGGCUGUCUCCACCCGAGACUCAGUGAAAUUGAACUCGCUGUGAAGAUGCAGUGUACCCGCGGCAAGACGGAAAGACCCCGUGAACCUUUACUAUAGCUUGACACUGAACACUGGUCCUUGAUGUGUAGGAUAGGUGGGAGGCUUUGAAGUGUGGACGCCAGUCUGCAUGGAGCCGUCCUUGAAAUACCACCCUUUAAUGGCUGGUGUUCUAACGUGGGCCCGUAAUCCGGGUUGCGGACAGUGUCUGGUGGGUAGUUUGACUGGGGCGGUCUCCUCCUAAAGAGUAACGGAGGAGCACGAAGGUUGGCUAAUCCUGGUCGGACAUCAGGAGGUUAGUGCAAUGGCAUAAGCCAGCUUGACUGCGAGCGUGACGGCGCGAGCAGGUGCGAAAGCAGGUCAUAGUGAUCCGGUGGUUCUGAAUGGAAGGGCCAUCGCUCAACGGAUAAAAGGUACUCCGGGGAUAACAGGCUGAUACCGCCCAAGAGUUCAUAUCGACGGCGGUGUUUGGCACCUCGAUGUCGGCUCAUCACAUCCUGGGGCUGAAGUAGGUCCCAAGGGUAUGGCUGUUCGCCAUUUAAAGUGGUACGCGAGCUGGGUUUAGAACGUCGUGAGACAGUUCGGUCCCUAUCUGCCGUGGGCGCUGGAGAACUGAGGGGGGCUGCUCCUAGUACGAGAGGACCGGAGUGGACGCAUCACUGGUGUUCGGGUUGUCAUGCCAAUGGCACUGCCCGGUAGCUAAAUGCGGAAGAGAUAAGUGCUGAAAGCAUCUAAGCACGAAACUUGCCCCGAGAUGAGUUCUCCCUGAGACUUAGAGUCUCCUGAAGGAACGUUGAAGACGACGACGUUGAUAGGCCGGGUGUGUAAGCGCAGCGAUGCGUUGAGCUAACCGGUACUAAUGAACCGUGAGGCUUAACCUU